AGUGAACGCUGGCGGUAGGCCUAACACAUGCAAGUCGAACGGCAGCACAGUAAGAGCUUGCUCUUACGGGCGGCGAGUGGCGGACGGGUGAGGAAUACAUCGGAAUCUACUUUUUCGUGGGGGCUAACGUAGGGAAACUUACGCUAAUACCGCAUACGACCUACGGGUGAAAGCAGGGGAUCUUCGGACCUUGCGCGAUUGAAUGAGCCGAUGUCGGAUUAGCUGGUUGGCGGGGUAAAGGCCCACCAAGGCGACGAUCCGUAGCUGGUCUGAGGGGAUGAUCAGCCACCCUGGAUCUGAGACACGGUCCAGACUCCUACGGGAGGCAGCAGUGGGGAAUAUUGGACAAUGGGCGCAAGCCUGAUCCAGCCAUACCGCGUAGGUGAAGAACGACCUCGGGUUGUUAAGCCCUUUUGUUGGGAAAGAAGAGCAGCAGGUUUAUACCCCGCUGUUCUGACGGUACCGAAAGAAUAAGCACCGGCUAACUUCGUG
rnacentral:rRNA from 1 species